rnacentral:rRNA from 1 species
GGGGCAACCGUGGUCGGCAUUAUUGGGCGUAAGAGCUCGUAGGUGGUUGGUCACGUCUGCUGUGGAAACGCAACGCUUAACGUUGCGCGUGCAGUGGGUACGGGCUGACUAGAGUGCAGUAGGGGAGUCUGGAAUUCCUGGUGUAGCGGUGAAAUGCGCAGAUAUCAGGAGGAACACCGGUGGCGAAGGCGGGACUCUGGGCUGUAACUGACACUGAGGAGCGAAAGCAUGGGGAGCGAACAGGAUUAGAUACCCUGGUAGUCCAUGCCGUAAACGUUGGGCACUAGGUGUGGGGGGCAUUCCACGUUCUCCGCGCCGUAGCUAACGCAUUAAGUGCCCCGCCUGGGGAGUACGGUCGCAAGGCUAAAACUCAAAGGAAUUGACGGGGGCCCGCACAAGCGGCGGAGCAUGCGGAUUAAUUCGAUGCAACGCGAAGAACCUUACCAAGGCUUGACAUACACCAGACCGUCCUGGAAACAGGUCCUCUUCUUUGAAGCUGGUGUACAGGUGGUGCAUGGUUGUCGUCAGCUCGUGUGCGUGAGAUGUUGGGUUAAGUCCCGCAACGAGCGCAACCCUCGUUCUAUGUUGCCAGCACGUGAUGGUGGGAACUCAUAGGAGACUGCCGGGGUCAACUCGGAGGAAGGUGGGGAUGACGUCAAAUCAUCAUGCCCUUUAUGUCUUGGGCUUCACGCAUGCUACAAUGGCUGGUACAGAGAGAGGCGAACCCGUGAGGGCAAGCGAAUCCCUUAAAGCCAGUCUCAGUUCGGAUCGUAGUCUGCAAUUCGACUACGUGAAGUCGGAGUCGCUAGUAAUCGCAGAUCAGCAACGCUGCGGUGAAUACGUUCCCGGGCCUUGUACACACCGCCCGUCAAGUCACGAAAGUCGGUAACACCCGAAGCCGGUGGCCUAACCCCUAGGAGGAGGGCGCCUCAUAUGGGACAUACUGAUUAUGAGAAUAAGUCUACAAGGGGGGCCACGCAUAAAACGGGAGUUUAUAAAACCCCAAACU